rnacentral:lncRNA from 1 species
AAAUUUACUCCUAUUUUGAGUAAAAGAUAGAUGCUUCAAAUCCUAAUAGAUAUCAAAGUAGAUCUUGAUAGAUAUUCACUAUAAUGUAAAUAUACUUAUAACACUCCCCCUUGAAUGUCUAAUUAGCAGACAAUGUGCCUUGUUAAAACCUUACUAGAAAAAACCCAGUGGGAAAAAAAUCUAGUGAAGGAAAAAUAGUACACAUCUCUAACAAUACGCAUAUAGGCUGCCUCAUUAAAAACCUUAUAAGGAAAACCCAGUGGGACAAAACCUCGUAAGAAAAAAAGAGUACAACGCGUAUUAACUCCCCCUAAUGAGAUCAUCCUUUAACCUUUGCAUCCCAAUCUUGUGCACCAUCUUCUUGAAAGUUGAAAUUGGAGGAGACUUGGUGAAUAAAUCAGCCACAUUGUCACUUGAACGAAUUUGUUGCACGUUAAUAUCACCAUUCUUUUG